UUGAAGAGUUUGAUCAUGGCUCAGAUUGAACGCUGGCGGCAGGCCUAACACAUGCAAGUCGAGCGGUAGCACAGAGAGCUUGCUCUCGGGUGACGAGCGGCGGACGGGUGAGUAAUGUCUGGGAAACUGCCUGAUGGAGGGGGAUAACUACUGGAAACGGUAGCUAAUACCGCAUAAUGUCGCAAGACCAAAGUGGGGGACCUUCGGGCCUCAUGCCAUCAGAUGUGCCCAGAUGGGAUUAGCUAGUAGGUGGGGUAACGGCUCACCUAGGCGACGAUCCCUAGCUGGUCUGAGAGGAUGACCAGCCACACUGGAACUGAGACACGGUCCAGACUCCUACGGGAGGCAGCAGUGGGGAAUAUUGCACAAUGGGCGCAAGCCUGAUGCAGCCAUGCCGCGUGUGUGAAGAAGGCCUUCGGGUUGUAAAGCACUUUCAGCGGGGAGGAAGGCGAUAAGGUUAAUAACCUUGUCGAUUGACGUUACCCGCAGAAGAAGCACCGGCUAACUCCGUGCCAGCAGCCGCGGUAAUACGGAGGGUGCAAGCGUUAAUCGGAAUUACUGGGCGUAAAGCGCACGCAGGCGGUCUGUCAAGUCGGAUGUGAAAUCCCCGGGCUUAACCUGGGAACUGCAUUCGAAACUGGCAGGCUAGAGUCUUGUAGAGGGGGGUAGAAUUCCAGGUGUAGCGGUGAAAUGCGUAGAGAUCUGGAGGAAUACCGGUGGCGAAGGCGGCCCCCUGGACAAAGACUGACGCUCAGGUGCGAAAGCGUGGGGAGCAAACAGGAUUAGAUACCCUGGUAGUCCACGCCGUAAACGAUGUCGAUUUGGAGGUUGUGCCCUUGAGGCGUGGCUUCCGGAGCUAACGCGUUAAAUCGACCGCCUGGGGAGUACGGCCGCAAGGUUAAAACUCAAAUGAAUUGACGGGGGCCCGCACAAGCGGUGGAGCAUGUGGUUUAAUUCGAUGCAACGCGAAGAACCUUACCUGGUCUUGACAUCCACAGAACUUAGCAGAGAUGCUUUGGUGCCUUCGGGAACUGUGAGACAGGUGCUGCAUGGCUGUCGUCAGCUCGUGUUGUGAAAUGUUGGGUUAAGUCCCGCAACGAGCGCAACCCUUAUCCUUUGUUGCCAGCGGUUAGGCCGGGAACUCAAAGGAGACUGCCAGUGAUAAACUGGAGGAAGGUGGGGAUGACGUCAAGUCAUCAUGGCCCUUACGACCAGGGCUACACACGUGCUACAAUGGCAUAUACAAAGAGAAGCGACCUCGCGAGAGCAAGCGGACCUCAUAAAGUAUGUCGUAGUCCGGAUUGGAGUCUGCAACUCGACUCCAUGAAGUCGGAAUCGCUAGUAAUCGUAGAUCAGAAUGCUACGGUGAAUACGUUCCCGGGCCUUGUACACACCGCCCGUCACACCAUGGGAGUGGGUUGCAAAAGAAGUAGGUAGCUUAACCUUCGGGAGGGCGCUUACCACUUUGUGAUUCAUGACUGGGGUGAAGUCGUAACAAGGUAACCGUAGGGGAACCUGCGGUUGGAUCACCUCCUU
rnacentral:rRNA from 1 species